AUGCUGGAGGUAAUCCAUGGGAGUCCAGUUGGCGAUCUUGGGGCAGGCCUUGGAGCCGACGACGCAGGCCAGCGCGGGCUUCCAGUACUUGAUGUCCUGCAUAUGCUUCUGGAGCCACGAGGAGUAGUCCGAGAUGUGGUACUCCCUGUACGGCCUCCCUUGCACCUGCGUGCCGCCGCCCCCCGCCGUGACGGCGAACCCGAACAUGGUGAGCCCGAGCAGCAUGCCGAUGAGGAGUAUCACGGCGAAGAGGUAGAGCCACAGCGCCCAGGCGACGUGGAAGCAGGCGCCCACGAACCCCGCGAGGGAGAUGAGGAGCACGAUGAAGCCGAUGAUGAGCAGCGGCGUCUGCAGCAUGGAGGAGCACGUCGUCGUGGAGCCCUUGGCGAGCCAGAGCCCCGCACCGAUGACCGGGAUGGAGGCCAGGAGCGUCGCCAGGUUGAGGUAGCCGAUCAUCAUGUUGCUGAAACGCUGAGGGUAGUACAUGCCGUUCAUCUUGCUUCCUGCUCCUGCUCCUGCUCAGGUUCUUCUUGCUCCUUCCCCUGCUCCUGCUCUGUUCUUAUGUGCACUGCUGCUGGCCUUUGGUUUGGUUUAUAUGAUACGGCUGGCUACGGUGUUCUUGGCUCUUGUUGCCCUAAAUUUGAUUUGGCUUGUCUCACUCUCACUCUCUCUUCUACUGAUUGGGAUGGUGGUAGUGUGUCCUGGAGCGGCCUGGUGCAAAGCAAGCUUUGCCUUUCUUCUUGCCUUGGAGAACUACUUUUGCAUCCUGGUGACUGUGCGUGCGUGUGUGUCCCUGCAAUGCGGCGUACUUGUGGGUAUUCUAAUGCUGGCAUUGGCUUUGCCUUUGUGGAGGCCGUUCUUUAA
rnacentral:rRNA from 1 species